AUUGAACGCUGGCGGCAUGCCUUACACAUGCAAGUCGAACGAUAACAGGUCUUCGGAUGCUGACGAGUGGCGAACGGGUGAGUAAUACAUCGGAACGUGCCUAGUAGUGGGGGAUAACUACUCGAAAGAGUGGCUAAUACCGCAUGAGAUCUACGGAUGAAAGCAGGGGAUCGCAAGACCUUGUGCUACUAGAGCGGCCGAUGGCAGAUUAGGUAGUUGGUGGGAUAAAAGCUUACCAAGCCGACGAUCUGUAGCUGGUCUGAGAGGACGAGCAGCCACACUGGGACUGAGACACGGCCCAGACUCCUACGGGAGGCAGCAGUGGGGAAUUUUAGACAAUGGGCGCAAGCCUGAUCCAGCAAUGCCGCGUGCAGGAUGAAGGCCUUCGGGUUGUAAACUGCUUUUGUACGGAACGAAAAGCCCCGGGUUAAUACCCUGGGGUCAUGACGGUACCGUAAGAAUAAGCACCGGCUAACCACGUGCCAGCCGCCGCAGUAA
rnacentral:rRNA from 1 species